UACAACCACUUUGCUAUAUCGCUCACCAAAUUCAUCUAGCCACCUUUGAAGCUUUGGUUUAUUUAGUUGUGCUUCUUCAGUCAAUUGUACUAUCCUGUUCAGUGUUGACUCUUUCCACAUCUUUGUGGCCUUUACAAUCAUUCUGCCAUCCAAAUUCCUUGCACCACCAGGAAUUCUGUCUCCAACUUUUGCCUCUAUUGGUUUGAUUUCACCAGUCAAAUGCUCAAUAGUAAUUGUUGCACUACCUUGAAAAACUUCACAAUCUACAGGUACCGCCUCACCAGUUCCGACCAAAAUAAAUGAGCCCACUUUUACAUCAUGCACAGGGACACUUUUGUAUGACAAAGCAGAGAGAUCCGGUAGUUUCUCAUCAUUCACAUUUAACAAAAGAGCAGAAUCUGGAUGAUUGUCCUUCAACUCCUUAACAUCCACCAUUGAGCGGCUGGUGAAAAUCUCUUCAGCAAUAUGAGCUAGAUUGAACAUUGCAAGAAGUAAUCCUCCUUCCAAGGUAUUGCCCAUAAAUAAUGAUGCAAAGGCGGCUAGAGCCAUCAACACGUGAAUAUUUACCUUCCCACCAGUAAUAUCAGUAAGAGCAUCAAGGGAUGCUGAAACCCCAACAAGAGGAAAGGCGAUAAUCAUGAAAGCAUUUUGAAGAGGC
rnacentral:misc_RNA from 1 species